UCCGUCUUGACGACGGCAGUCCCUCUGGAGUGCCCAACUUAAUGAUGGCAACCAAAGGCAAGGGUUGCGCUCGUUGCGGGACUUAACCCAACAUUUCACAACACGAGCUGACGACAGCCAUGCAGCACCUGUCUCCACUGUCCCUUACGGGCCUACGCUAUCUCUAACGUAUUCAGCGGGAUGUCAAAUCCAGGUAAGGUUCUUCGCGUUGCUUCGAAUUAAACCACAUGAUCCACCGCUUGUGCGGGCCCCCGUCAAUUCCUUUGAGUUUUAGUCUUGCGACCGUACUCCCCAGGCGGGAUACUUAGUGUGUUAACGUCGACACGGCAGGGGUCAAGACCCACCACGUCUAGUAUCCAUCGUUUACAGCGUGGACUAC
rnacentral:misc_RNA from 1 species